rnacentral:rRNA from 1 species
UACGUAGGUGGCAAGCGUUGUCCGGAUUUACUGGGCGUAAAGAGCGCGCAGGCGGUCGCUCAAGUCGCGUGUGAAAGCCCCCGGCUCAACUGGGGAGGGUCACGCGAUACUGAUCGACUCGAAGGCAGGAGAGGGAAGUGGAAUUCCCGGUGUAGUGGUGAAAUGCGUAGAGAUCGGGAGGAACACCAGUGGCGAAGGCGGCCCCCUGGGCCGCUCCUGACGCUGAGACGCGAAGGCGCGGGGAGCGAACGGG